GACGAACGCUGGCGGCGUGCUUAACACAUGCAAGUCGUACGGUAAGGCCCUUUCGGGGGUACACGAGUGGCGAACGGGUGAGUAACACGUGAGUAACCUGCCCACAACUUUGGGAUAACGCUAGGAAACUGGUGCUAAUACUGGAUAUGUGCUCCUGCUGCAUGGUGGGGGUUGGAAAGCUCCGGCGGUUGUGGAUGGACUCGCGGCCUAUCAGCUUGUUGGUGGGGUAGUGGCCUACCAAGGCGGCGCCGGGUAGCCGGCCUGGGAGGGUGACCGGCCACAUUGGGACUGAGAUACGGCCCAGACUCCUACGGGAGGCAGCAGUGGGGAAUAUUGCACAAUGGGCGCAAGCCUGAUGCAGCAACGCCGCGUGCGGGAUGACGGCCUUCGGGUUGUAAACCGCUUUCAGCAGGGACGAAGCUUUUUGUGACGGUACCUGCAGAAGAAGCACCGGCUAACUACGUG
rnacentral:rRNA from 1 species